AUUUCCUGUUGUAAGAUAUGUCAUCANNNNNNNNNNAAAAAAAAAAAAAAAAAUCUGUUCUUAUCAGUUUAAUAUCUGAUACGUCCCCUAUCUGGGGACCAUAUAUUAAAUUGAUUUUUGGAAUAGGGAGAUGGAAUAGGGGCUUGCUCCGUCCACUCCACGCAUCGACCUGGUAUUGCAGUACCUCCAGGAACGGUGCACCCCCU
rnacentral:snRNA from 13 species